rnacentral:lncRNA from 10 species
UGAGCCACUGCGCCGUCCUCAAGUUAUAUUAGAAUCGUGUCCUCCCAGCUUUGGCCAGCUUACUAUUCUAGGACUUGAUUCCUUCAUUCAGUCACAAUUUAUUGAGCACCGACUUUGCAUCAAGCUCUUGCUGAAGAUAACAGUGCUGACAAUAUACAGCCCUGCCCUCAGAGCUUAUAUAGUAGAGGAGAAAAAGUGAACCCAUAAUAUACAGUCAGUAGCGAGUAUUUACUAAGUACUUUCUAUUUGCGAGGCCCUGAUAAAAGUACUGUCCUGGCCAGGCGCGGUGGCUCACGCCUGUAAUUCCAGCACUUUGGGAGGUCGAGGUGGGCAGAUCACCUAAGGUCAGGAGUUCGAGAUCAGCCUGGCUAACAUGGGGAAACCCCGUCUCUACUAAAAAUGGAAAAAUUAGCUGGGCAUGGUGGCGGGCGCCUGUAAUCCCAGCUACUCGGGAGGCUGAGACAGGAGAAUGACUUGAACCCAGGAGUUGCAGUGAGCCAAGAUAAGAUAGCGCCAUUGUACUCCAGCCUGGGUAACACAGCGAGACUGUGUCUCAAAAAAAAAAAAAA